rnacentral:rRNA from 1 species
AGCGAACGCUGGCGGCAGGCCUAACACAUGCAAGUCGAACGAACCUUUCGGGGUUAGUGGCGGACGGGUGAGUAACACGUGGGAACGUGCCUUUAGGUUCGGAAUAACUCAGGGAAACUUGUGCUAAUACCGAAUGUGCCCUUCGGGGGAAAGAUUAAUCGCCUUUAGAGCGGCCCGCGUCUGUUUAGCUAGUUGGUUGAGGUAAUGGCUCACCAAGGCGACGAUCAGUAGCUGGUCUGAGAGGAUGAUCAGCCACAUUGGGACUGAGACACGGCCCAAACUACUACGGGAGGCAGCAGUGGGGAAUCUUGCGAAAUGGGCGAAAGCCUGACGCAGCCAUGCCGCGUGAAUGAUGAAGGUCUUAGGAUUGUAAAAUUCUUUCACCGGGGACGAUAAUGACGGUACCCGGAGAAGAAGCCCCGGCUAACUUCGUG